AUGACUAGCUAACUGAAAUCAUUAUAUUUAAUUACAUUGGGUUAAAUCGAUCUAUUAUUAGUUCAAAUGAUAACGUAAGGGAAAAACAUGAUGUCACCUUACUAUUAGUGUUGUCCAAAGUUGGUGCCAGAAGACUCGGUAAGGCCAGAAACACAAACGUUAAUCAUCUUUAUCAGGCGUAAAGGGUAUGUAGGCAGCUUUAAAACAAAAAUUAUAAGUAUAGCACUUAAAUUAAUUCAAAUUAAAAAAAAAAAAAAAAAAAAUUGGAUUAAUUUUAUUAUAAUUUUUAUAACUUGAAGAUAGAAUCAUAUAGAGGAAAAACCAAAUAAUACUUAGUGUAGAAAUAAAAUCCGUAGAUAUUAAGGGGAAUUCUAAAGGUGAAGACUUUUUUUCCACUAAUGAUUGACGCUGAGAAACGAAGGUAAGAAAAGGAAAAAGGAUUUGAGACCCUUACACCUCUUACUGUCAACGAUGAAUGGUAGUCUGUUAAUUAUAAUAAUAAUUAUUGGCGAUGCUAACGCAAUAACCAUUCCGCCUUGCGAGUACGGUUGCAAAACUGAAACCAAAAAAAUUAGUCGGUCUCGAAGCAAACGGAGUGARGCA
rnacentral:rRNA from 1 species